rnacentral:rRNA from 1 species
CCUACGGGAGGCUGCAGUGGGGAAUAUUGCUCAAUGGGCGAAAGCCUGACGCAGCGACGCCGCGUGAGGGAUGAAGGUCUUCGGAUCGUAAACCUCUGUCAGCAGGGAAGAACGGUCACGGUGCUAAUCAGCAGCGAAUUGACGGUACCUGCAAAGGAAGCACCGGCUAACUCCGUGCCAGCAGCCGCGGUAAUACGGAGGGUGCGAGCGUUAAUCGGAAUUACUGGGCGUAAAGCGCUCGUAGGCGGUAUGGCAAGUCAAGGGUGAAAUCCCCGGGCUCAACGUGGGAACUGCCUUUGAAACUGGCAGGCUGGAGUGUGUGAGAGGGUAGUGGAAUUCCAGGUGUAGGGGUGAAAUCCGUAGAUAUCUGGAGGAACAUCAGUGGCGAAGGCGACUAUCUGGCACAUAACUGACGCUGAGGAGCGAAAGCGUGGGGAGCAAACAGGAUUAGAUACCCCAGUAGUC